UAUGAAUAAGGACCGGCUAAUUCCGUGCCAGCAGCCGCGGUAAUACGGAAGGUCCGGGCGUUAUCCGGAUUUAUUGGGUUUAAAGGGAGCGUAGGCCGGAGAUUAAGCGUGUUGUGAAAUGUAGAUGCUCAACAUCUGCACUGCAGCGCGAACUGGUUUCCUUGAGUACGCACAAAGUGGGCGGAAUUCGUGGUGUAGCGGUGAAAUGCUUAGAUAUCACGAAGAACUCCGAUUGCGAAGGCAGCUCACUGGAGCGCAACUGACGCUGAAGCUCGAAAGUGCGGGUAUCGAACAGGAUUAGAUACCCUGGUAGUCCGCACGGUAAACGAUGGAUGCCCGCUGUUGGUCUGAAUAGGUCAGCGGCCAAGCGAAAGCAUUAAGCAUCCCACCUGGGGAGUACGCCGGCAACGGCAACUCAAAGGAAUUGACGGA
rnacentral:rRNA from 1 species